rnacentral:sRNA from 1 species
UGGAGGGGGAGACUCUUCACACAUUCUACACCCAGCUGGUGUUGAUGCCCAAGGUGAUGCACUAUGCCCAGUACGUCCUCCUGGCGCUGGGCUGCGUCCUGCUGCUGGUCCCUGUCAUCUGCCAAAUCCGGAGCCAAGGUCCUGAGGACACCGUGAGCCAGCCAGGCCUGGCCGCUGGGCCUGACCGGCCCCCCAGCCCCUACACCCCGCUUCUCCCAGACUCUCCCAGCGGACAGCCCCCCAGCCCCACAGCCUGAGCCUCCCAGCUGCCAUGUGCCUGUUGCACACCUGCACACACGCCCUGGCACACAUACACACAUGCGUGCAGGCUUGUGCAGACACUCAGGGAUGGAGCUGCUGCUGAAGGGACUUGUAGGGAGAGGCUCGUCAACAAGCACUGUUCUGGAACCUUCUCUCCACGUGGCCCACAGGCCUAACCACAGGGGCUGUGGGUCCUGCGUCCCCUUCCUCGGGUGAGCCUGGCCUGUCCCGUUCAGCCGUUGGGCCCAGGCUUCCUCCCCUCCAAGGUGAAACACUGCAGUCCCGGUGUGGUGGCUCCCCAUGCAGGACGGGCCAGGCUGGGAGUGCUGCCUUCCUGUGCCAAAUUCAGUGGGGACUCAGUGCCCAGGCCCUGGCCACGAGCUUUGGCCUUGGUCUACCUGCCAGGCCGGGCAAAGCGCCUUUACACAGGCCUCGGAAAACAAUGGGGUGAGCACAAGAUGCCCUGUGCAGCUGCCCGAGGGUCUCCGCCCACCCCGGCCGGACUUUGAUCCCCCCGAAGUCUUCACAGGCACUGCAUCGGGUUGUCUGGCGCCCUUUUCCUCCAGCCUAAACUGACAUCAUCCUAUGGA